ensembl:snoRNA
CAGCAUCCACUGAUAGACCUUGAACAAUUUGCUGUGUUCUUUUGGUUUGCACUAGGAUGCAAAAGAAAAUAAUCCCUGUGCUUUCUGUCUUUGUAACAGUCCAGAUUGAAUUGGGGAACACAUCU